GAUGAACGCUGGCGGCGUGCCUAAUACAUGCAAGUCGAGCGAACAGACGAGGAGCUUGCUCCUCUGACGUUAGCGGCGGACGGGUGAGUAACACGUGGAUAACCUACCUAUAAGACUGGGAUAACUUCGGGAAACCGGAGCUAAUACCGGAUAAUAUAUUGAACCGCAUGGUUCAAUAGUGAAAGACGGUUUUGCUGUCACUUAUAGAUGGAUCCGCGCCGCAUUAGCUAGUUGGUAAGGUAACGGCUUACCAAGGCAACGAUGCGUAGCCGACCUGAGAGGGUGAUCGGCCACACUGGAACUGAGCCACGGUCCAGACUCCUACGGGAGGAAGCAGUGGGGAAUCUUGCACAAUGGGCGAAAGCCUGACGGAGCAACGCCGCGGGGGUGAAGAAGGUCUUCGGAUCGUAAAUCUUUGUUGUGGGGAAAGAAAAAAAGUAUAAGAAACUCUGCCUGUCUUGACGGUACCUAAUGAAAAAGCACCGGCUAACUCCGUG
rnacentral:rRNA from 1 species